rnacentral:lncRNA from 1 species
CGACUUAACAAAAUAGUAGAAAGAGCAUUGGGCUGAAGUGAGAAGAUUUGAAUUCUAGUCCAAAAUCUGUUACUAACCAGCUCUUUGACCCUGAGAAGUCAUUUGACUUGAAUUAUAGUCUUUUUCUUAUAUGGGAAAGGUGGAGUAUACUCAGAGUCUCUCCUAAGUGCUAAGAUUCUGUGAUUCUAUGAAAUCAGACCAUCAGAGAGGAAUACUGCAGUGUUCUCCUGCAUGGGUUGUAAAUGAGAAAAAAGAAAGAAGGAGAGCAAAAUGACUUAAAGACAUUUUCAAGAAAAAAAGAGGAGAGAAGUCACUGAAAUGGAAAAAUAAACAUAUUAUAUAACUAUUUAUUGCACUAUGCAAUAAAAACAUCUUCAGCAACAGCCACACAAGUGCGGGUAGAGGGUCUGCUUUGAAGAGAGAAAAAAGGCUGCUGCAGAAAAAACAAACCUCAAUUCAUAAUUGGAGCUUUUGUUCUUUCUGGAUUGUUUUGUGAAGAACAUGCUGCCAAAAAACAUUUUUCUUCUGUAACCGCUUCUUUUGAAACUCCAUUCUUUUUUAUUUCAAGGAUGUUUAUUAUCUACUCAUUUCUUUUUAUUUAUUUUUGAAUCAUAUACCCCAAUGUCUAGAUGACUGGGACCACUAGGUUUCAUAUUUCCCAGAUGAGAUUAGUUGUACAGUUCAUUUUGCAGGUUUAUUCAGAGCAUUUCAAUGGCAUUUCACCUACAGUUCACCUAUAUUGAGUCCUAAGAAAUUGAAGGUGUUUCUUGAUAGUUCUCCUGCUCCAUCUUCUUCCAGGGGAUUGAUUUGGCUUCUUAUGUUUUUGUAUUUGGUUGCUCAUUAGAGAUAAGCCUGAUUAUUUGGCAUUGUGUAUUUUCUCUGUUUUAAAAAGGGAAAAUACAACAUGUUAUUAAUUAUUAUGAUAUAAUAAAAAAUGGAGAGAAGGAAAAAGAUUUUCAUCCUGACACUUUGAGUCAUUUUAAGAAUUUUCAGCUUGCUUUGUCAUUUGUUUCUUUAAACU